rnacentral:rRNA from 1 species
UACGGGGGGAGCAAGCGUUGUUCGGAUUUACUGGGCGUAAAGGGCGCGUAGGCGGUCGUGACAAGUCACUUGUGAAAUCUCCGGGCUUAGCUCGGAACGGUCAAGUGAUACUGUCGGACUAGAGUACAGAAGGGGCAACUGGAAUUCUCGGUGUAGCGGUGAAAUGCGUAGAUAUCGAGAGGAACACCUGCGGCGAAGGCGGGUUGCUGGGCUGAUACUGACGCUGAGGCGCGAAAGCCAGGGGAGCGAACGGG